UACGAAGGGGGCUAGCGUUGCUCGGAAUCACUGGGCGUAAAGGGUGCGUAGGCGGGUCUUUAAGUCAGGGGUGAAAUCCUGGAGCUCAACUCCAGAACUGCCUUUGAUACUGAAGAUCUUGAGUUCGGGAGAGGUGAGUGGAACUGCGAGUGUAGAGGUGAAAUUCGUAGAUAUUCGCAAGAACACCAGUGGCGAAGGCGGCUCACUGGCCCGGUACUGACGCUGAGGUGCGAAAGCGUGGGGAGUAAACAGG
rnacentral:rRNA from 1 species